rnacentral:rRNA from 1 species
GAUGAACGCUAGCUACAGGCUUAACACAUGCAAGUCGAGGGGUAACGAGAGGAAAGCUUGCUUUCCUUGUCGACGACCGGCGCACGGGUGAGUAACGCGUAUCCAACCUGCCCCCAACUAAGGAAUAACCUUGCGAAAGUAAGACUAAUACCUUAUAAUUUCCUCAGAUGUCAUCUGACGAGGAAUAAAGAUUUAUCGGUUGUGGAUGGGGAUGCGUCUGAUUAGCUUGUUGGCGGGGUAACGGCCCACCAAGGCAACGAUCAGUAGGGGUUCUGAGAGGAAGGUCCCCCACAUUGGAACUGAGACACGGUCCAAACUCCUACGGGAGGCAGCAGUGAGGAAUAUUGGUCAAUGGGCGAAAGCCUGAACUAGCCAAGUAGCGUGCAGGAUGACGGCCCUAUGGGUUGUAAACUGCUUUUAUACAGGAAUAAAGUUAGCCACGUGUGGUUAUUUGUAGGUACUGUAUGAAUAAGGACCGACUAAUUCCGUGCCAGCCGCCGCGGUAA